rnacentral:sRNA from 1 species
GGAGUUCAGGAGGCGGAGCGCCUGUGGGAGCCUUGGAGGGAACUUUCCCAGUCCCCGAGGCGGAUCGGGUGUUGCAUCCAUGGAGCGAGCUGAGAGCUCGAGUACAGAACCUGCUAAGGCCAUCAAACCUAUUGAUCGGAAGUCAGUCCAUCAGAUUUGCUCUGGGCAGGUGGUACUGAGUCUAAGCACUGCGGUAAAGGAGUUAGUAGAAAACAGUCUGGAUGCUGGUGCCACUAAUAUUGAUCUAAAGCUUAAGGACUAUGGAGUGGAUCUUAUUGAAGUUUCAGACAAUGGAUGUGGGGUAGAAGAAGAAAACUUCGAAGGCUUAACUCUGAAACAUCACACAUCUAAGAUUCAAGAGUUUGCCGACCUAACUCAGGUUGAAACUUUUGGCUUUCGGGGGGAAGCUCUGAGCUCACUUUGUGCACUGAGUGAUGUCACCAUUUCUACCUGCCAUGCAUCGGCGAAGGUUGGGACUCGACUGAUGUUUGAUCACAAUGGGAAAAUUAUCCAGAAAACCCCCUACCCCCGCCCCAGAGGGACCACAGUCAGUGUGCAGCAGUUAUUUUCUACACUACCUGUGCGCCAUAAGGAAUUUCAAAGAAAUAUUAAGAAGGUACAGUAAAUUAAUCCUGGUUUUCAAGAGUAUUGGUUAAUGCACAUGAGCAAAAGAUUUACUAAAGAUGUUUAUUCUUCAGUUGAUUCUCUUCCCGUAAAUUAUUGAGAAAUGCUUUAUUUGCAUUUCUCAUUAAAGAUUUAACAUUAAAGACUUAACUUUAGGAUGAUUUACUUUUUUCUUUUCAUCACGUAGUGUUUAUUAGGACUGGGCAACAUAGUGAGACCCUGUCUCUAUGAAAAAUUAAAAAAAAAAAUUUACUGGGCAUGGUGGCAUGCACCUGUAGUUCCAGCUACUUGGGAGGCUGAAGUGGGAGGAUCACUUGAGCCCAGGAACUUGAGGCUGCAGUGAGCUAUGAUUGCGCCACUGCACUUAAGACUGGGAGACAGAGUAAGAUCCUGUCUGGAAAAAUAUAUAUACAUAUAUAUAUUUUUUAUUUUUUAUUUUUAUCUUUUUUUGAGAUGGAGUUUCACUUUGGUGCCCUG